AUUGAACGCUGGCGGAAUGCUUUACACAUGCAAGUCGAACGGCAGCACGGACUUCGGUCUGGUGGCGAGUGGCGAACGGGUGAGUAAUGUAUCGGAACGUGCCCAGUCGUGGGGGAUAACGUAGUGAAAAUUACGCUAAUACCGCAUACGAUCUAUGGAUGAAAGCGGGGGAUCGCAAGACCUCGCGCGAUUGGAGCGGCCGAUAUCAGAUUAGGUAGUUGGUGGGGUAAAGGCCCACCAAGCCAACGAUCUGUAGCUGGUCUGAGAGGACGACAAGCCACACGGGAACGGAGACACGGUCCAGACUCCUACGGGAGGCAGCAGUGGGGAAUUUUGGACAAUGGGCGAAAGCCUGAUCCAGCCAUUCCGCGUGCAGGAUGAGGGCCCUCGGGUUGUAAACUGCUUUUGUACAGAACGAAAAGGUUUCUACUAAUACUAGGAGCUCAUGACGGUACUGUAAGAAUAAGCACCGGCUAACUACGUGCCAGCAGCCGCCGUAA
rnacentral:rRNA from 1 species